rnacentral:rRNA from 1 species
UUGAUUCCAGCUGAUCCCGCUGGCGGAUACUGCUAUCGGAGUUCCACUUAGACAUGCAAGUCCAAAUGCUUCGGCCAUGUGAGGCAUUGGCGCACGGCUCAGUAACACGUAGUCAACCUACCCAUGGGAGGAAAAAAUCCCGGGAAACUGGGGAUGAUUUUCCAUAGACCCCUUCCACUGGAAGGUGUUGGGGUUUAAAGGAACGCGUCGCAUGCGAUGCGCUUCGCCCUUGGAUGGGACUGCGGUGGAUUAGGUUGUUGGCGGGGUAACUGCCCACCAAGCCUACAAUCCAUACGGGCCUUGAAAGAGGGAGCCCGGAGAAGGACACUGAGAUAAGGGUCCUAGCCCUACGGGGUGCAGCAGUUAGGAAAACUCUGCAAUGCACGAAAGUGCGACAGGGGAACUUCGAGUGCCACCACUUGGUGGCUUUUCUCAAACCCAAAACGUUUGAGGAAUAAGGGGAGGGUAAGAUACGUGCCAGCCGCCGCGGUCAAACGUACUCCCCAAGUGGUAUCCACUAAUAUUGGGCCUAAAGCGUUCGUAGCCCGUUCAAUAAGUCUUUGGUCAAAUCCAUUCGCUUAACGAAUGGCAGGCUAAAGAUACUGUUGGACUCGAGGCCGGGAGAGGUCAAGGGAAUUUCCAGGGUAACGGUGAAAUGUUGUGAUCCUGGAAGGACCACCAGUAGCGAAGGCGCUUGACCAGAACGGGCCUGACGGUGAGGAACGAAAGCUGGGGGAGCGACCCGGAUUAGAUACCCGGUUAGUCCCAGCCGUAAACGAUGUGGACUAAGUGUCCUUACACCCACGAGGUGAAGGGGUGCUGUAGCGAAGGCGUUAAGUCCACCGCCUGGGAAGUACACUCGCAAGGGUGAAACUUAAAGGAAUUGGCGGGAGCUCACAACAAGGGGUGGAGGCUGCGGUUUAAUCGGAUACAACGCCAAACAACUCACCAGGGGCGACAGCUGAAUGAUGGCCAGUCUAAAGGGCUUGCCUGACUCGCUGAGAGGUGCGGUAUGGUCAUCGCCAGCUCGUACUAUGAAGCGUCCUGUCAACUCAGGCAACGAGCGAGACCCACGCUUCUAGUUGCAACUCUCCUGUACGCAGGAGGGGCACUCUAGGAGGACUGCCGAGGCAACUUGGAGGAAGGAGUGGGCAACGGUAGAUCUGUAUAGCCCGAAUCUCCUGGGCCACACGCGGCCUACAAUGGUCAAGACAAUGAGAUGCAAACCCGAGAGGGCCAGCUAAUCCCCUAAACUUGACCUCAGUUCGGAUCGAGGGCUGCAACUCGCCCUCGUGAACGAUUGGAAUCCCCAGUAAUCGCGCGUCAUUAUCACGCGGUGAAUCAGUCCCUGAGCUUUGCACACACCGCCCAUCAAGCCAACUGAGUAGGGCCCUGAUGAAUUGCAUCCUCGAGAGAGGGCGUAAUGAUUCUGGGUCUUGUGAAGUGGGCUAAGUUGUAACAAGGUGUCCGUAGGGGAACCUGCGGACGGAUCACCUCCUA